rnacentral:lncRNA from 1 species
UCGCGAUCUACAGUUAGCCGAGGACAUCAAUCAAAAAAAAAAUACACUUUGCGAUUUGGGAGGGAAUCGUAUUUUUUUCCAGACAGGGAUGAUUUGCGUCUGGAUGGAUUUGCGAGUUCAGACAGGAACGAUUUACGAUCUCAGACAGGGACGAUUUGAAAUCAAGUGGUUUACGUCUGGACGUCUGGACGGAUCUGCGAUCAAC